GUGGUGCAUGGCUGUCGUCAGCUCGUGUCGUGAGAUGUUGGGUUAAGUCCCGCAACGAGCGCAACCCUUGUCCCGUGUUGCCAGCAUGGUGCUGGGGACUCACGGGAGACCGCCGGGGUCAACUCGGAGGAAGGUGGGGACGACGUCAAGUCAUCAUGCCCCUUAUGUCUUGGGCUGCACACGUGCUACAAUGGCCGGUACAAUGAGCUGCGAUACCAUGAGGUGGAGCGAAUCUCGAUUGUCGCCGGUCUCAGUUCGGAUGGUCUGUCACUCGACCCCAUAGAGUCGGA
rnacentral:rRNA from 1 species